rnacentral:rRNA from 1 species
UAGAGUUUGAUCCUGGCUCAGAUUGAACGCUGGCGGCAUGCCUUACACAUGCAAGUCGAACGCGAAAGCGGGGCAACCCGCAAGUAGAGUGGCGAACGGGUGAGUAAUACAUCGGAACAUAUCCAGUAGCGGGGGAUAACCUGUCGAAAGAUAGGCUAAUACCGCAUACGAUCUACGGAUGAAAGCAGGGGACCGCAAGGCCUUGCACUAUUGGAGUGGCCGAUGUCAGAUUAGCUAGUUGGUGGGGUAAAAGCCUACCAAGGCGACGAUCUGUAGCUGGUCUGAGAGGACGAUCAGCCACACUGGAACUGAGACACGGUCCAGACUCCUACGGGAGGCAGCAGUGGGGAAUUUUGGACAAUGGGCGCAAGCCUGAUCCAGCCAUGCCGCGUGAGUGAAGAAGGCCUUCGGGUUGUAAAGCUCUUUCGGUGAAGACGAAACGGUUAGCGCUAAUAACGCUGACUAAUGACGGUACUCACAGAAGAAGCACCGGCUAACUACGUGCCAGCAGCCGCGGUAAUACGUAGGGUGCAGGCGUUAAUCGGAAUUACUGGGCGUAAAGCGUGCGCAGGCGGUUUGUUAAGGCAGGUGUGAAAUCCCCGGGCUUAACCUGGGAAUUGCGCUUGCAACUGGCAAGCUAGAGUGUGGCAGAGGGGGGUGGAAUUCCACGUGUAGCAGUGAAAUGCGUAGAUAUGUGGAGGAACACCGAUGGCGAAGGCAGCCCCCCUGGGUUAACACUGACGCUCAUGCACGAAAGCGUGGGGAGCAAACAGGAUUAGAUACCCUGGUAGUCCACGCCCUAAACUAUGUCAACUGGUUGUCGGGGAAGAAAUUCCUUGGUAACGAAGCUAACGCGUGAAGUUGACCGCCUGGGGAGUACGGCCGCAAGGUUAAAACUCAAAGGAAUUGACGGGGACCCGCACAAGCGGUGGAUUAUGUGGAUUAAUUCGAUGCAACGCGAAAAAACCUUACCUACCCUUGACAUGCUAGGAAGUCCGCAGAGAUGUGGAUGUGCCCGAAAGGGAACCUGGACACAGGUGCUGCAUGGCUGUCGUCAGCUCGUGUCGUGAGAUGUUGGGUUAAGUCCCGCAACGAGCGCAACCCUUGCCAUUAGUUGCUACAUUCAGUUGAGCACUCUAAUGGGACCGCCGGUGACAAACCGGAGGAAGGUGGGGAUGACGUCAAGUCCUCAUGGCCCUUAUGGAUAGGGCUUCACACGUAAUACAAUGGUCGGUACAGAGGGUUGCCAACCCGCGAGGGGGAGCUAAUCCCAGAAAGCCGAUCGUAGUCCGGAUUGUAGUCUGCAACUCGACUGCAUGAAGCCGGAAUCGCUAGUAAUCGCGGAUCAUCAUGUCGCGGUGAAUACGUUCCCGGGUCUUGUACACACCGCCCGUCACACCAUGGGAGUGGGUUCCACCAGAAGUAGUUAGCCUAACCGCAAGGGGGGCGAUUACCACGGUGAGAUUCAUGACUGGGGUGAAGUCGUAACAAGGUAACC